AGGGGAGCGAACAGGAUUAGAGACCCUGGUAGUCAUAGCCCUUAACGAUGGAUGCUGGAAGAGGGACCAUAGCGAUCAGCGUAGAAACGAACGCGUUAAGCAUCCCGCAUGGGGAAUACGACCGCAAGGUUAAAACUCAAACCGAAUUGACGGGACCCCGCACAAGCAGCGGUAGCGAUGUGGUUUAAUUCGAUGCUACACGAAGAACGAUACACUGGGUUCGACAUCUAGGUGGUAGUGAAACGAAAGCGGAGCGACCCUUCGGGGAGCCUAGACAGAUGCUGCAUGGCUGUCGUCAGCUCGUGCCGUGAGUCUGUCGGGUUAAGUCCCGUAACGAGCGCAACCCUUGCCGUCCGUUAUACGUGUCAGAGGGGACCGCCGGCGGUAAGCCGGAGGAAGCUGGGGAUGACGUCAAGUCAGCAUGGCCUGUAUAUCCAGGGAUACACACACGGUACAAUGGCCAGUACAAAGGGCAGCGAAGCCGCGAGGUGGAGAGAAUCCCAGCAAAGCUGGUAGUAGGUCGGAACGCAGGAUGCAACCCGCCUGCAUGAAGCUGGAGUUGCUAGUAACCGCGCGUCAGCUAUAGUGCGGUGAAUACGUUCCCGGGCUUGUACACACCGCCCG
rnacentral:rRNA from 1 species